CGAGGCUUGCUUUGGACUGCUAUUUCUACUGUCCUGCAUGAACUUCUCUUCCAGCCAUUUCAGUUAGAGGACAACAAUUGCUUCUUCAGUUAAAUUUGAUUAUUCUACCAAGAGUACUACAUAAGCCAUUCGGUGAGGCAUCAAGGAUUACAUAUCAGUUGGUUUGUUCUCUGCAAUCCUAUUAAAAAAGGUAUGUAUGUCUUCAACACAUUUCUUCUAUGAGCUAAAUAUUCGAUUAUGACAUGUAUAUGUAGUGUAGUUGGUAGCUCCUGUGUCAUGUUUUAAGGAAAUACAGUGCGAGGAUUCAGUCGUAUUCAAGGAACUGCUUAGAAGUUCACAUUAGUAGUAACUGCACUGUUAGCAAUAUAGAUUUGAAAAUCAAGCCCCGUAGAAAAUUCGGUUAUAUUGUACUCAGAAAGCGUGCAGAUCAGGAGAACAAGAUAAGAAUCACCGAGAUGAACAUGUAGAUGUCCUUUAUUCCACCUUAUUAUUAGUUGAAAAAAUGAUUUAUUUUUUCAUUUAUUUGAAUAGAUACAAGAAGACUGCCACUUCCAGCUCUAUCAAAUGCACUGUAGCUGUUAGUAUCUUUCUAGCCCGAACUUCCUAUUUCUUAUACCAAGCACUUCCUUACUUGCAUGGUACGUAGUUGUUUGUUAUGAAUAAUGAUGCUUUUUCACAAUCAGGAUGAAUUUAUUUCAUAUAUGGACAACUUUGCCUUUCCCUUGCAGCCAUUCCAUUAUAGAUUUAUAUGACGACGUGGGCUUAGCCCAGUGGUUAGGGUCGCAGUGGCGCACCCUAACGACCAGAGUUCAAUCCCUGUCAGGGACGAAUUCUGGAAUUGUCACGCCAAGUCCCGCUUCUACUAUAUCAAUAGUGUUCUACUUCCUCCUAGACACUGUUUCAUUUUUUUAU